CUCCCCAUCAACCCUCAGUUUUUAUUUCAAGUGCUUUUGUUUUCAUAGCUCGGGAUACAUUUAUUUAUAUUUUUCUGAUGACCAGCCUCUGUGCGUGGACUCCUUCUUGCGCCGUUUUUUCAAAAAGUUGCUUCGUUUAACCUGUGACUAAUUGGUUAGAUAAAACCAGCAUAUGUACUCCUAGAACCUAGGAGUACAUUUCGUCCCAGGCCUGGGAAGGAGGAGUAAAUUGCACUUCAUUCCUGUCAUUCUUUCUCUUUCCCUUUCCUGCAAAAUUAUCAUCCAAAGUCGUGUUGGAAAAUUCUUCAUUUGUCUAUCAGAGCUCUUUCAUUCAUUCGUGUAUUAUUCCGUAAAUCUCCCCCCCCCAGCCAGCUCCUGGACUCCAAGUGUCCUCCCACCCACACACAGCACAGGAAGGGAAGCUUCUCUAGGAGAAGAAACCGGUCAGAAAGGAAAGAGUAAGGAGUAUGGAAUGUCAACUAAGUGAAAAAUUUGUGAUUUGGUGGAGAGAACAACGGACCAGAGUCUAACACGUGGGUUCUAGGCUUAGCUUCCUACUGAUGGGUUGUGUGAAAUUGUACAAUUGCAUCUCAUGUCUUGAGUCCCCACCUCCUUAGCUUGUAAAAUGGGGUGGCCUGCUUCCCUAAGAUGGUUGUGGGAAUCCGAUGAGACACUGCACGCCAAGGCUCUCUGUAAAUGCUCAGGCUCUUUCUGAGAGCACGGCGCCAUCAUUAUUCCGGAAGCAAAACAUGAGACAGGCAGGACAGGGAGUCCGUGUUGGGAAUUCAUUCUGGAGCGAGGUCGCAGCAGUCAUUGGGAAGAGUCUUCCUUGGGCAAUUUCAUAUUUACUUAUUUACGUAAUCUCUACACCCAACGUGGGGCUCGAACUCAUGACCCUGAGAUCAAGACUCGCUUGCUCUUCUGACUGAGCCAGCCAGGUGCCCCAUUCCAUGGGUAACUUAAAUGACAAUGCCUCAAGGAAUUUUCUCCGGCUCUACCCCGCCCCAAGUCCAGGUUGUGCCCCUGACAUGGGCCCCUAACACUGUAUACUUUUUGUCCCCGAGCAUUUCGCAGGUAGCGGUACCAGUGUCUGUCUACGAGACCGUAAGCCCGUCGUAGUCAGGGCCUUCUCUCAUCCAUCACGAUGCCCACAGAUCCUGGCGCUGUGUCCAUAGGGACAGUAAGUAGACAAGUGGAAGUAUUUCUCACGAGCGAAGACCCGGACGAGGCAUUCGGUCAGACAGCAUGACACGUCAAAGGAUUCUGCUGGGCACUCACGCUGUGUGGGAAAGUCAGCAGAUUGAAACCAGGUUUGGGGUCCAGAAGGCCAGUCUUAAGUCCUAGUAGUCUCACUGCUCAGCUAUAUUAUCACCAAGACAUCCCUGUGCUAUCGGGAAGCGUGCUGUCGCUUCUCAGCUUCCGAGAGUGACAACCUCUCUGUGCUUCAAUAUCCUCACUUGAAAAAUGGAGCAAAAAAGCACCUUCAAAUGCCUCAUCUUCUUCAGCCACGUUAAGACGCGGUUUGGGUUUUUGUUCGCGGCGCCGUAAGCAAAUGCUGUAAAGCGUUUUGUUUGGUUUUCAUUUUCCUGAAAAAUGACAACAUUCAGAUACUUUGCAGCAUUUCUCAAAUGAUGGGUAACAUUGUAAGAAGAGCCUUGUCCUUUUUCUCUUGGCUCAUCUGUAACUCCAGACUUCCUGUUUGUUCGGGUUGUCGGAUGGCUUGGAAUCCUGGAGGUUUGAGGGAAGCCGAGUACCUGAAUAAGGCUAAUGACUUUGUAGAAGCCCAUACUUCUUGCCUAGUGCUCACCUCCCGCUGCCACUAGCCUCGCACAAGCCGCUGUCAUCUCUGGCCUCCUAACGUACUUCCGCUUCUUGCCUCCAACCCACUUUUCACAGCACAGAGCAGACGUUCCCCGAACGCACAUCUGACCGUACCCCUACUGACCGAGAGCCCUUCGGGAGGCCCCCCCGGCUGGCCAGGGCUCUUUCUCAGGAUCCUCCUCUUCUCUGUCAGUCUGUCUGUCUCUCUCUCUGUCUGUCGCACUCUCUCUGUCGCUUUCGGUUCUUCCAACCAGCUGGACUCAGUUCUCUCCACCCCAGACCUAGUUCUGCUCUUCCUUCUGCAUGGAAUAUUCUCUUCUGUCUUUGCCUGGCCAACGGUACUAUCGUUCGGGUCUCAGUUUUAAUGGCACUUCUUGGUGGUGCACCUUUCCUGACCCCCUAGACCAGACUGAGCAUCCUUGUGAUGUGAUCCUGACUCUUCCUCUGGCCUGCCUCGUCCCGUAGAGCUGUCUGUAAACUCCGUGAAGGCAGGAGCAAGCUUCUGCUGUUCACCUCUGCACCUCCAGGACCUGCCGGGUGCCGUGUGCCUCGCGUAGAUGGCGUGCCUCAGCUGGUUUUCUCGGAUUAUUCAGGAUUUUUGCUGGAAUCCAAGUGGUCUUUCAAGAGAACCGAUGAUUUUCUGAUGAAGCUGUUCGCACGCUUUUGAAGCCAGGAGAAGGGUUGUAUAGACAACAAGACUGAAUGAAGGUAUGAAAUUGUCUUGGUAAGACGAAGUGAAAUCGGGCCACCACACAAGCAAACAUGGACAUCACCUGUAUCUGGAGUCUCAAAGCCAUGAAAUACGCGGUGUUUGAAAGGAUACGAGAAAUACAUUGAUUUGAUUUGACUUUUUUCUUUUUGGCCAUCCUUCGUGUUACAAAACAGUUGAAGCUUAGUAUCAUUUCAAGCACGGAGUGUAAAGUGAUCGGUGAGGCUGGAUGGAGGAAGGGCAAGAGAAAUGAAUGUGAAGGACAAAAAAAAA